rnacentral:rRNA from 1 species
AACGAACGCUGGCGGCAUGCCUAACACAUGCAAGUCGAACGAGACCUUCGGGGCUAGUGGCGCACGGGUGCGUAACGCGUGGGAACCUGCCCUUAGGUUCGGAAUAACUCCCCGAAAGGGGUGCUAAUACCGGAUAAUGUCUUCGGACCAAAGAUUUAUCGCCUUUGGAUGGGCCCGCGUUGGAUUAGCUAGUUGGUAGGGUAAAAGCCUACCAAGGCGACGAUCCAUAGCUGGUCUGAGAGGAUGAUCAGCCACACUGGGACUGAGACACGGCCCAGACUCCUACGGGAGGCAGCAGUGGGGAAUAUUGGACAAUGGGCGAAAGCCUGAUCCAGCAAUGCCGCGUGAGUGAUGAAGGACUUAGGGUUGUAAAGCUCUUUUACCCGGGAUGAUAAUGACAGUACCGGGAGAAUAAGCUCCGGCUAACUCCGUG